GCAUAUCCAAUAAGCGGAGGAAAAGAAACCAACAGGGAUUGCCUCAGUAACGGCGAGUGAAGCGGCAACAGCUCAAAUUUGAAAUCUGGCCUUGGCCCGAGUUGUAAUUUGUAGAGGAUGUUUCUGGCGCGGCGCCUUCCGAGUUCCCUGGAACGGGACGCCAUAGAGGGUGAGAGCCCCGUACGGUCGCGCGCUAAGCCUCUGUGAAACUCCUUCAACGAGUCGAGUAGUUUGGGAAUGCUGCUCUAAAUGGGAGGUGUACGUCUUCUAAAGCUAAAUACCGGCCAGAGACCGAUAGCGCACAAGUAGAGUGAUCGAAAGAUGAAAAGCACUUUGAAAAGAGGGUUAAACAGUACGUGAAAUUGUUGAAAGGGAAGCGGUUACGACCAGACUUGGGCCCGGUUAAUCAUCCAGCGUUCUCGCUGGUGCACUUGGCCGGCCCAGGCCAGCAUCAGUUUGCCCCGGGGGAUAAAGGCUUCGGGAAUGUGGCUCCCUAGGGAGUGUUAUAGACCGUUGCGUAAUACCCUGAGGUGGACUGAGGUACGCGCUCCGCAAGGAUGCUGGCGUAAUGGUCGUCACCGACCCGUCUUGAA
rnacentral:rRNA from 1 species